AACGAACGCUGGCGGCAUGCCUAACACAUGCAAGUCGAACGAGACCUUCGGGUCUAGUGGCGCACGGGUGCGUAACGCGUGGGAACCUGCCCUUAGGUUCGGAAUAACUCCCCGAAAGGGGUGCUAAUACCGGAUAAUGUCUUCGGACCAAAGAUUUAUCGCCUUUGGAUGGGCCCGCGUUGGAUUAGCUAGUUGGUAGGGUAAAAGCCUACCAAGGCGACGAUCCAUAGCUGGUCUGAGAGGAUGAUCAGCCACACUGGGACUGAGACACGGCCUAGACUCCUACGGGAGGCAGCAGUGGGGAAUAUUGGACGAUGGGCGAAAGCCUGAUCCAGCAAUGCCGCGUGAGUGAUGAAGGCCUUAGGGUUGUAAAGCUCUUUUACCCGGGAUGAUAAUGACAGUACCGGGAGAAUAAGCUCCGGCUAACUCCGUG
rnacentral:rRNA from 1 species